UACGGAGGGAGCUAGCGUUGUUCGGAAUUACUGGGCGUAAAGCGCGCGUAGGCGGCUAUUCAAGUCAGAGGUGAAAGCCCGGGGCUCAACCCCGGAACUGCCUUUGAAACUAGGUAGCUAGAAUCUUGGAGAGGCGAGUGGAAUUCCGAGUGUAGAGGUGAAAUUCGUAGAUAUUCGGAAGAACACCAGUGGCGAAGGCGACUCGCUGGACAAGUAUUGACGCUGAGGUGCGAAAGCGUGGGGAGCAAACAGG
rnacentral:rRNA from 2 species